rnacentral:sRNA from 1 species
UUUUUUCAUAUGAAUACUCUUGAAAUCUUGUUCAAUUUAUAUUAAUUCUAUAUAUUUAAUCAUGAGCCUAUAACAAUGUUGUUGGAGUAUUAUAUCAGGGAAUACAUAAACCAAAAAUAGUUUAUUUAUAAUCAAGUUAGACAAUUUUCAAAUCAUGCAAAACACGAUCAUUUUUCUAAUAUUGAUAUAUGCAAUGACAGAAGAUCUAAAAGUGUUGACUUAAAUGACAUUUAGUUUUUGCUAUCUUUUUAUUUUCUUCAUACCCCUUUUUCAUACGAAUACUCUUCAGAUCUUGUUCAGUUGAAGUCAAUCAAAACUUUAAUCAUGAGCUUAUCACAAUGUUGUUGAAGUACAUAAAACAAAGAAUUGAUUUAUUUAUAAUCGAGUAAGAU